AGGAAUGGCGAGAAAAUUGCAAUCGGCAUUGCCAUGAAAUAAAUGGAUAGAGAGGUGGUUACAUACGGAGAUAAAGGAGAGAGAGGAAGAGAACAUACCAUCAACAUUACAUACGUAUCUCACAAGUGCUGCCAGAGAAAUCUACAAAGUCGUAUACAUUAGCGUCAACCGCAAAAGCAUACAAUUUUUUUAAAUCUUCCUAGAAACUCAAACGUCUUAAUCCUUUACAGCUAAAAUUAUGGAACAUUGAUUAAGAUGCAUGCAAAUUUACGAUGGCGCGUUUAUCCCUACCAUACAACAGCGCUGAUAUACGUUCAUUGAGCGAGACUUCAUUUCUUGAGCCUCCCUGCAUCAAUGAUAUUGUUAUCGAUAACAGCCCAGACAUUUCAAUCUGGAGAAAGAUAAAGAUUUGACGUACACAUUGGACGCUUGCCAAAAUCGAAGCCAAUAUUGUUGACCUAACAAUCACUAAAGCGAUCGACUAG